CUUGGUCAUUUAGAGGAAGUAAAAGUCGUAACAAGGUAUUAUAUGGUGAACCUGCGGAAGGAUCAUUA
rnacentral:rRNA from 1 species